GAAAGAAUUUCAGCUGCACGUUUCCAAUUAUCCACACAAAACAUCAUUGAACAAGAUAAGCAUGAAGCAACUGACAUCUGAGGCCUCCCGCUAUCAUAAAUAAGACAACUUUGAGGGGAAUACUUUUCUGAAAACACAUUGAUAUGAUAGCUAUGCAACCCACGAAGACAUGUUUUUAUCCCACAUAAACUAAACUGGCAAUAUGAAUAUUAAAUCAUGUGUAGUGUAAACUGACAAGACAUACACAGAAAGCCAAAAUAUCUCUCAACAGCUUACCUUCUGCAGCUUCCUUGCGGGCCAUAUUUGCCUUCAUCAAAUCAGCCGAUGCUUCAGCAGCCUCAAUUCCAGCUAAGCCAGUGCAGUAGCUAUUUCGGAUAGUCUGCUUGCAGCAUUUGUAGCCCCACUGAUGAUCUUUCCACCAUGAGCCCCAUACGGUUGUAUGGUUAUUAAUGAAAACAUCCUCUUCAUAUUUGCUCUUGGGAAGGGCUACAUCCUGUAUGAAAUGAACUUUGAGAAUCCAUGAACUAAUACAUGCAAAAGACAAUAGAUAAUGUGAACAACUGAAAAGUAUUAAAGUAAUGACCCAGAAAUGGAUAGAGCUAAUAGGAAAAACUGGUAUAAGAGCUCCACAAAACCUACACUCGUGUGGAGAGUUCUACAUUCAUGUGCUGUUCCACAUUUCUUAAGUUUCUUGCAGUUGUAAUGAAUGGUCUCUAUAACUUGCAACUGCCUAAGUGCUUAGAACAAACCUUAAGCUUCUUGUCAUCUGAUGCGAUAUGGAACUAGUUAGCUAAACAGCGUUCUCAGAAACAGAUUAUUAUGUGUAGUUAGCUAAACAGCACAUCUUAUAUGGUGUAGAGUUCUAUAGUGACAGGUUACGGAAAUAGACUAUUAAAGGAAGAACUAUGACAACAUUACACUGGC
rnacentral:sRNA from 1 species